CCGCCGCCGGCGACCGGCGCACGGGUGAGUAACACGUAUGCAACCUGCCCCUGUCAGGGGGACAACCCGCCGAAAGGCGGGCUAAACCCGCGUACAUGCCACCGGGGCAUCCCGGAGGCAGGAAAGGCUUCGGCCGGACAGGGAUGGGCAUGCGGCGCAUUAGGCAGUAGGCGGGGUAACGGCCCACCUAACCGACGAUGCGUAGGGGUUCUGAGAGGAAGGUCCCCCACACUGGUACUGAGACACGGACCAGACUCCUACGGGAGGCAGCAG
rnacentral:rRNA from 1 species